UCAUGGCUCAGAUUGAACGCUGGCGGCAGGCCUAACACAUGCAAGUCGAGCGGUAACAGGAGAAAGCUUGCUUUUUUGCUGACGAGCGGCGGACGGGUGAGUAAUGUAUGGGGAUCUGCCCGAUAGAGGGGGAUAACUACUGGAAACGGUGGCUAAUACCGCAUGACGUCUACGGACCAAAGCAGGGGCUCUUCGGACCUUGCGCUAUCGGAUGAACCCAUAUGGGAUUAGCUAGUAGGUGAGGUAAUGGCUCACCUAGGCGACGAUCUCUAGCUGGUCUGAGAGGAUGAUCAGCCACACUGGGACUGAGACACGGCCCAGACUCCUACGGGAGGCAGCAGUGGGGAAUAUUGCACAAUGGGCGCAAGCCUGAUGCAGCCAUGCCGCGUGUAUGAAGAAGGCCUUAGGGUUGUAAAGUACUUUCAGCGGGGAGGAAGGUGUUAAGAUUAAUACUCUUAGCAAUUGACGUUACCCGCAGAAGAAGCACCGGCUAACUCCGUGCCAGCAGCCGCGGUAAUAC
rnacentral:rRNA from 1 species